rnacentral:misc_RNA from 1 species
CGGCAUUCUUUCUUUCCCUCUCUCACCGUUGCAAUUUCAGAGCUCAGUUAAGUAAUUUGUGGAUCUCUCUCUCUCUCUGAGCUAAAACCAAAGCAACGGGAAUGGCUUCAACGGGGCAAUCCCAAUCUCUGAAAAGACGAGAUGCACCAGUAACAAGAGAAGGGGAUCAACUAACUUUAACUCCUCUUGGGGCUGGCAAUGAAGUGGGUCGAUCCUGUGUGUACAUGUCCUAUAAAGGGAAGACAGUGUUGUUUGAUUGUGGAAUUCAUCCGGCUUACUCAGGCAUGGCUGCCUUGCCAUACUUUGAUGAGAUUGAUCCUUCAACUAUUGAUGUACUUCUCAUCACCCACUUUCACUUGGAUCAUGCUGCAUCUCUGCCUUAUUUCUUGGAGAAGACCACAUUUAAGGGUCGUGUCUUCAUGACUCAUGCAACAAAGGCUAUCUACAAGUUGCUUUUAACAGGUUAUGUUAAAGUCAGCAAGGUUUAUGUCUUGCUCAUCAAACAACAUG